GUAGGGUGCGAGCGUUAAUCGGAAUUACUGGGCGUAAAGCGUGCGCAGGCGGCUUUUUAAGCCAGAUGUGAAAUCCCCGGGCUUAACCUGGGAACUGCAUUUGGAACUGGAAGGCUAGAGUGCGGCAGAGGGGGGUAGAAUUCCACGUGUAGCAGUGAAAUGCGUAGAGAUGUGGAGGAAUACCGAUGGCGAAGGCAGCCCCCUGGGUCGACACUGACGCUCAUGCACGAAAGCGUGGGGAGCAAACAGGAUUAGAUACCCUGGUAGUCCACGCCCUAAACGAUGUCAACUAGUUGUUGGAGGAGUGAAAUCCUUUAGUAACGAAGCUAACGCGUGAAGUUGACCGCCUGGGGAGUACGGUCGCAAGAUUA
rnacentral:rRNA from 1 species